AGUGAACGCUGGCGGUAGGCUUAACACAUGCAAGUCGAACGGCAGCAUAGGAGAGCUUGCUCUCUGGGUGGCGAGUGGCGGACGGGUGAGGAAUACAUCGGAAUCUACUCUGUCGUGGGGGAUAACGUAGGGAAACUUACGCUAAUACCGCAUACGACCUACGGGUGAAAGCAGGGGAUCUUCGGACCUUGCGCGAUUGAAUGAGCCGAUGUCGGAUUAGCUAGUUGGCGGGGUAAAGGCCCACCAAGGCGACGAUCCGUAGCUGGUCUGAGAGGAUGAGCAGCCACACUGGAGCUGAGACACGGUCCAGACUCCUACGGGAGGCAGCAGUGGGGAAUAUUGGACAAUGGGCGCAAGCCUGAUCCAGCCAUACCGCGUGGGUGAAGAAGGCCUUCGGGUUGUAAAGCCCUUUUGUUGGGAAAGAAAUCCAGCUGGCUAAUACCCGGUUGGGAUGACGGUACCCAAAGAAUAAGCACCGGCUAACUUCGUGCCAGCCGCCGCAGUAA
rnacentral:rRNA from 1 species